GACGAACGCUGGCGGCGUGCUUAACACAUGCAAGUCGAACGGAAAGGCCCUGCUUUUGUGGGGUGCUCGAGUGGCGAACGGGUGAGUAACACGUGAGUAACCUGCCCUUGCCUUUGGGAUAACUUCAGGAAACUGGGGCUAAUACCGGAUAGGAGCUCCUGCUGCAUGGUGGGGGUUGGAAAGUUUCGGCGGUUGGGGAUGGACUCGCGGCUUAUCAGCUUGUUGGUGGGGUAGUGGCUUACCAAGGCUUUGACGGGUAGCCGGCCUGAGAGGGUGACCGGCCACAUUGGGACUGAGAGACGGCCCAGACUCCUACGGGAGGCAGCAGUGGGGAAUAUUGCACAAUGGGCGGAAGCCUGAUGCAGCAACGCCGCGUGCGGGAUGACGGCCUUCGGGUUGUAAACCGCUUUCGCCUGUGACGAAGCGUGAGUGACGGUAAUGGGUAAAGAAGCACCGGCUAACUACGUG
rnacentral:rRNA from 1 species